rnacentral:lncRNA from 1 species
AUUGAAAUCUUUUUCUUAAAUUUUUCAUUACAGUUGAUUUACAAUGUCGGGUCAGUCGCUGCUAUACAGCAAAGUGACAUACGUAUAUAUAUACAUUCUUUUCCUCAUCCUGUCUUCCAUCGUGGUCCAUCACAAGAGACUGGAUAUGGUUCCCUGUGCUAUGCAGUAGGACAUCAUUGCUUAUCCAUUCUAAAUGUAGUAGUUCGCAUCUUAUCACAGGUUUCUUGAGUGUUGUGUAAACACAUCUUUCCAACAAGAUGGAACAGCCCUCAAAGUCUUUGUGCAGUUUCCCACAGUGCUUACACGUAGUACAACUUUCACUAAUUCUUGUUGAAUAAGCAAAUGAAGGGAGUUCCCGCUGUGGCAAAUCGGAAACGAACGGGACUAGUAUCCAUGAGGAUGUGGGGUUGAUCCCUGGCCUUGCUUAGUGGGUCAGGGAUCCGGUGUUGCCAUGAGCUGUGAUAUAGGUCGCAGACACAGCUUGAAUCCCAUGUUGCUGUGGCUGUGGCUAGUUCUUAAAUUCAAGAGACUUUCAUUAUAAUGUAAGAAAAACAGACAUUCAAUAACUACAGUCAGCCCUCUGUAUCUGCAGGUUCUGCAUCCAUGGAUUCAACCAACUGUGGAUUAAAAAUAUUUGGGAAAAAGUUCCAGAACAUUAUAAAAAGUAAAAUUUGAAUUUGCUGCAUGCCAGCAACUAUUUAUACAGCAUUUAUAUUGUAUUAGGAAGUAUAGGUAAUUUAGAGAUUUAAGGUAUACAGGAGUAGGUAUAUAGGUCAUCUGCAAUACUAGGACAUUUUAUAUAAGGGACUUGAGCAUCUUCAAAUUUCGGUACCCAAGGGGAUCCUGAAACCAACCCUCAUGGAUACUGAAGGAUGACUAUAACUGCAAACUAGGGGUCUCAGCGAUUUUGUGUGUGAAGAGGUGUCUGAGAAGUCUUUCUAAUGAAGGGGCACUGGAGCUGAGACUGAAGACUAAGUAGGUUUAGCAGGAGGGAGAAAGGUCCCAGCAAAUGCCAAGGCCCUAAGGAGGAAAUGAGCUCAGCAAGCUUGAGGCACUAAAAGGGGAUCAUUGUGACUGGGCCCAGGUGUCCCCGGGGAGAGAGACAGGAGAUGGCCACCACUACUGCCAAAACACAGAGAAUCCACCCAGUUCUUCUUCUCCCUCAUCUGAGUUAGAGUUCUCUGUCUUUUCAUUUUUAUAGGUUUUUGGUGUGGCGACCUUUUUGCAGACAGUAGAGUUAUAGCCUCUCUUACUUCUAGUGCCUGCCUCCCUUGUGGCUGAAGUCGGUAUGGGGGGCUUGCUGUGGGCUUCCUGAUGGGAGGGACUGGUGCCUGCCCACUGGUAGGUGGGGCUGACUCCUAUCCCUCUGGUGGGUGGGGCUUUGUCCCUAGGUGAGAUUAGAGGAGGCUGUGUGCCUGGGGGGUCUUUAGACGGGGGCGUUUACUGACGGGCGGGGCUGUGAUCCCACUGGAUUGUUGUUUGGCCUGGGGCUUCUCAGCGCUGUUGGGUGGGGCCAGACUUUCCCAAAAUGGCCACCUCCAGAGAAAUGUUCGCUGAUGAAUAUUCCCAGGCGCUUUGCCUCCAGUGCCCUUCCCCACAACAAGCCACAUUCACCCCCUGUUUUCCCA